rnacentral:lncRNA from 1 species
UAAAGGUUUAGGCUAAAUCAAAUCAAAUCAAAUUUAUUCAUAUAGCCCUUCGUACAUCAGCUGAUAUCUCAAAGUGCUGUACAGAAACCCAGCCUAAAACCCCAAACAGCAAGCAAUGCAUGUGAAAGAAGCACGGUGGCUAGGAAAAACUCCCUAGAAAAAACUCCCUAGAAAGGCCAAAAACCUAGGAAGAAACCUAGAGAGGAACCAGGCUAUGAGGGGUGGCCAGUCCUCUUCUGGCUGUGCAGGGUGGAUAUUAUAACAGAACAUGGUCAAGAUGUUAAAAUUUUCAUAAAUGACCAGCAUGGUCAAAUAAUAAUAAUCAUAGUAGUUGUCGAGGGUGCAACACGCACGUCCGGUGAACAGGUCAGGGUUCCAUAGCCGCAGGCAGAACAGUUGAAACUGGAGCAGCAGCACGGCCAGGUGGACUGGGGACAGCAAGGAGUCAUCAUACCAGGUAGUCCUGAGGCAUGGUCCUAGGGCUCAGGUCCUCCGAGAGAAAGACAGAAAGAGAGAAAGAGAGAAUUAGAGAGAGCAUAUUUAAAUUCACACAGGACACCGGAUAAGAGAAGAGAAAUACUCCAGAUGUAACAGACUGACCCUAGCCCCCCGACACAAACUACUGCAGCAUAAAUACUGGAGGCUGAGACAGGAGGGAUCAGAAGACACUGUGGCCCCAUCCGAUGAUACCCCCGGACAGGGCCAAACAGGCAGGAUAUAACCCCACCCACUUUGCCAAAGCACAGCCCCCACACCACUAGAGGGAUGUCUCUAACUACCAACUUACCGUCCUAAGACAAGGCCGAGUAUAGCCCGCAACGAUCUCCGCCAUGGCACAACCCAAGAGGGGGCGCCAACCCAGACAGGAAGACCACGUCAGUGACUCAACCCACUCAAGUGACGCACCCCUCCCAUGGACGGCAUGGAAGAACACCAGUAAGCCAGUGACUCAGCCCCUGUAAAAGGGUUAGAGGCAGAGAAUCCCAGUGGAAAGAGGGGAACCGGCAAGGCAGAGACAGCAAGGGCGGUUCGUUGCUCCAGCCUUUCCGUUCACCUUCACACUCCUGGGCCAGACUAUACUUAAUCAUAGGACCUACUGAAGAGAUAAGUCUUCAGUAAAGACUUAAAGAUUGAGACUGAGUCUGCGUCUCUCACAUUGGUAGGCAGACCAUUCCAUAAAAAUGGAGCUCUAUAGGAGAAAGCCCUACCUCCAGCCGUUUGCUUAGAAAUUCUAGGGACAAUUAGGAGGCCUGCGUCUUGUGACCG